rnacentral:rRNA from 1 species
AUUGAACGCUGGCGGCAGGCCUAACACAUGCAAGUCGAACGGUAGCACAGAGAGCUUGCUCUUGGGUGACGAGUGGCGGACGGGUGAGUAAUGUCUGGGAAACUGCCUGAUGGAGGGGGAUAAUUACUGGAAACGGUAGCUAAUACCGCAUGAUGUCGCAAGACCAAAGUGGGGGACCUUCGGGCCUCACGCCAUCGGAUGUGCCCAGAUGGGAUUAGCUAGUAGGUGAGGUAAUGGCUCACCUAGGCGACGAUCCCUAGCUGGUCUGAGAGGAUGACCAGCCACACUGGAACUGAGACACGGUCCAG